rnacentral:rRNA from 2 species
UACGGAGGGUGCAAGCGUUAAUCGGAAUUACUGGGCGUAAAGCGCACGUAGGUGGCUGCUUAAGUCGGAUGUGAAAGCCCUGGGCUCAACCUGGGAAUUGCAUUCGAUACUGAGCGGCUAGAGUACGAUAGAGGGAGGUAGAAUUCCACGUGUAGCGGUGAAAUGCGUAGAUAUGUGGAGGAAUACCGGUGGCGAAGGCGGCCUCCUGGAUUGAUACUGACACUGAGGUGCGAAAGCGUGGGGAGCAAAC